GGGGCGAGGAAGAGGAGGUAGAAGCUGCUUAAGGAGGCCACGGAAUCUGCAGACGUCUCACCGUCGACCAGUUUUCUCAUACGGUCGACAUAUGGUAUGUACCCGGUGGCCUAAACUUCCACAGGAUAAAUCUCUACCUGAGAUUCUGAAUUCUAUAGAAUAAGGAGAUCUAAAUACUAGUCUAGACUAGUAUAGCUGAAUUAGUAUACCAAGCUUGUGUGAGCUAAGUCCGACGACAUGACUCAAGUCUUGCCAAGGUCUGGGUUAAAUAUAAGUCUAGGCUGGGUCUAGGUUGAAUCUACUUAUAUUAUCGAAAUGAAAUUUUAUAUUUCUGCUAAUAUUUGUAACUUGGGUUACGCGAGAGUUAUCCAAAAUUAAAAUGGAACAAGAUGGUUCAGAACGCGAAAAACGAAAUCAGUCUCUUUGGAAUGUCCGAAUCGAUGACUCGACUCUAACGACUGUAAUCUGAUAAGGAUCGAUUUCAAGUUUAUAGGAGGAACCAUGAUGUGAUAACACUUGCUAUCGAGAGAGCAUAGUGUCCAAAAAGCUGGUCGAUUUCAUUAAGAAGUUGUUGGAUGAAGUCAAUGAAGUCACCAGGUAUGGUGAACCAAUCGAGAGUAAUGUAUAACCCCCUGAUUUACAUUCGCACGUGUUCUCAAGGCAUCAUGAGGUGACUUUUGGAGAGUCCUUUCGGCCACUCAAGUCUGGCGGAGGUGUUGGCGGUCUCCGUCACAAAGAACAGGAGGAAAGGAAGGAAAGUGCAGCCAGUGCAAAAAAGGAACUGUUUCAAAGCGCGGUAGCACUUUCUGCGGACCAAAAUUCGCCUGCUUAGCAGCGUAAAGCUAUUGCACGUAACAAUCAACUAGCGUAUCUUGACAGUAGGAGAAAGUGUACUCUAUACAGUCCCGGACUUCCACUUUUCUAACUCACGCAAACCAAAUCUUCGUCUGUGGAAAACGCAACAAGUGAAGUCUGGCUUAUACUAAUUUUUAUAGAAAGUAGAGACGAUAGAAAAGUUAGAAAUAGAUAUAGUGGCUUACGAAAGUAUUCGAAAACUGUUAGAAGCUUUUUAUGUACAUAUAUAUUAUACAAAACAUUUUGAAAUCUGAUAUCGAUCAAAUUUGAAAUAGAUUAGGAAGACUAUUAUUGACUUAAGAUUUCCACGAUGGUUUUUUGAAUUCAUCAUAUUUGGUCUUCAGGUUAUCAAUCGUGUUAUAUAUUAUUUUGUAAGCCGAUCUUUCGUGAACGUUGUAAUUCACUUCUUCAGGGUUAUCCUGAAACUGAGCUUUUCCAGGUAUUUUUUAUGGUCGUGUUCAGAACACGAUUUCCAUUGGUCAACCAGAGGCACUUCUUUGACCAUAAAAAGCAUUAGCAAAAUCUGGAAAUACUCAGUUUCAGUACAACACUGAAGACGUAAAAUACAACGUCCACGAAACGUCGGCUUACAAAGCAAUAUAUAAUAUGAUUGAUAACCUGAAGAUCAAUUAUGAAUAGUAUUCAUGCCGUAUACUAAUUUUCUACUGAGUGUAUAUUUGCGAUAUAUGUCUUGUAAUUUCUAUAUACAUGUCCAAUUAAUACGGUAGUACAAUAAUUACAAUGAUCGUGUCUCGUUACGGUGUUAACGAAUUUUCAAAAAGUUUUGUAGAAUGCAUAUAAUAUAUUCAUAAAAAAUACUGUGGUCGGUAUACGAGUACUUCUGUGAACCACUGCUUUUUUGAUAUAAAAUUAUGAUAUUCGUCUGUUAUGUUGCACAUACAUGUACGUUUAACAGCGUACAAGUAACAUAUGGCAUCGAGAAAUGAUCGGGAAAGAAGCGUGUAUGAGGUCACUGAACCUUCCUAUGAGCUAACGACGCAUCGUACGUAUCCCUUUUCUCUCUUUUCGCGUUCGUUUCGGUUUUUUCCUGUUCCGUAAAAGAGAGGAGGCCGCCACACGCGCCUAACUGGCAAAACGUGUCACAUGGCUCGCAUCAUUGUGAGAGACGCAUGGUUUGUGGUAAUGGUAAUCCAAUCGCCGGAGACUUGUUCGACUUGAAACUCACUUGUGGU